rnacentral:rRNA from 1 species
GACGAACGCUGGCGGCGUGCUUAACACAUGCAAGUCGAACGAAGUGGCGAACGGGUGAGUAACGCGUAAUCAACCUGCCCUUCAGAGGGGGAUAACAGUUGGAAACGACUGCUAAUACCGCAUACGGAAGGAGGGGAUUGCGUCUGAUUAGAUAGUUGGAGGGGUAACGGCCCACCAAGGCGAUGAUCAGUAGCCGGGCUGGGAGGGUGGACCGCCCCCUUGGGACUGGGACCCGGGCCCGACUCCUACGGGAGGCCACAGUUGGGAAUCUUCCGCCAUGGACGGAAGUCUGGCGGAGCAACGCCGCCUUGGUGGUUACGGCCUUCGGGUUGUAAAGCUCUGUUAAUCGGGACGCGGUACCGGAAUAGAAAGCCACGGCUAACUACGUGCCAGCAGCCGCGGUAAUAC